rnacentral:tRNA from 1 species
GCCCUAGUAGCUUAAUAGCUAAAGCAUCGGUUUUGUAAUCCGAAGAUUGAAGAUUAAAAUUCUUCCUAGCGCUAAAA